rnacentral:rRNA from 1 species
GAUGAACGCUGGCGGCGUGCCUAAUACAUGCAAGUCGAGCGAACGGACGAGAAGCUUGCUUCUCUGCUGUUAGCGGCGGACGGGUGAGUAACACGUGGAUAACCUACCUCUAAGACCGGGAUAACUUCGGGAAACCGGAGCUAAUACCGGAUAAUAUUUUGAACCGCAUGGUUCAAAAGUGAAAGACGGUCUUGCUGUCACUUAUAGAUGGAUCCGCGCUGCAUUAGCUAGUUGGUAAGGUAACGGCUUACCAAGGCAACGAUGCAUAGCCGACCUGAGAGGGUGAUCGGCCACACUGGAACUGAGACACGCUCCAGACUCCUACGGGAGGCAGCAGUAGGGAAUCUUCCGCAAUGGGCGAAAGCCUGACGGAGCAACGCCGCGUGAGUGAUGAAGGUCUUCGGAUCGUAAAACUCUGUUAUUAGGGAAGAAAAUAUGUGUAAGUAACUGUGCACAUCUUGACGGUACCUAAACAGAAAGCCACGGCUAACUACGUG